AGUGAACGCUGGCGGCAGGCCUAAUACAUGCAAGUCGAACGGCAGCACAGUGGAGCUUGCUCCAUGGGUGGCGAGUGGCGGACGGGUGAGGAAUACAUGGGAAUCUGCCCAGUCGUGGGGGAUAACGUAUGGAAACGUACGCUAAUACCGCAUGCGCCCUUCGGGGAAAGCCGGGGACCUUCGGGCCUGGCGCGAUUGGAUGAGCCCAUGUCGGAUUAGCUAGUUGGCGGGGUAAUGGCCCACCAAGGCGACGAUCCGUAGCUGGUCUGAGAGGAUGAUCAGCCACACUGGAACUGAGACACGGUCCAGACUCCUACGGGAGGCAGCAGUAGGGAAUAUUGGACAAUGGGCGCAAGCCUGAUCCAGCCAUGCCGCGUGGAGGAAGAAGUCCUUCGGGAUGUAAACUUCUGAACUAGCCGAAUAAAAGGCCUGUGGACACACAGGAGAAGAAAGUAGGCUAGGAAAAGUCCCGGCUAACUACGUG
rnacentral:rRNA from 1 species